GGGCCUUUAGCUCAGUUGGUUAGAGCAGAGGACUCAUAAUCCUUUGGUCCACGGUUCAAGUCCGUGAAGGCCCACCA
rnacentral:tRNA from 4 species